UCGGGAAUAUUGGACAAUGGGCGAAAGCCUGAUCCAGCCAUGCCGCGUGUGUGAAGAAGGUCUUCGGAUUGUAAAGCACUUUAAGUUGGGAGGAAGGGCAGUUACCUAAUACGUGAUUGUUUUGACGUUACCGACAGAAUAAGCACCGGCUAACUCUGUGCCAGCAGCCGCGGUAAUACAGAGGGUGCAAGCGUUAAUCGGAAUUACUGGGCGUAAAGCGCGCGUAGGUGGUUAGUUAAGUUGGAUGUGAAAUCCCCGGGCUCAACCUGGGAACUGCAUUCAAAACUGACUGACUAGAGUAUGGUAGAGGGUGGUGGAAUUUCCUGUGUAGCGGUGAAAUGCGUAGAUAUAGGAAGGAACACCAGUGGCGAAGGCGACCACCUGGACUGAUACUGACACUGAGGUGCGAAAGCGUGGGGAGCAAACAGGAUUAGAUACCCCAGUAGUCCCUGAGCGGGCUGGCAAGGCGCAU
rnacentral:rRNA from 1 species